UUUGGCCAUUCCCUGUCUCUGCUCCAGAAAGCCAAGGGUUCAGAUGAAGAUUGGAAGGAGAAAAACAGAAGACUUUGAUCUUGAUCACAGCGACAGAUUCAGAGAUAUCUGAGUUUACUCUUCAGCAUUAAACCUUGGGCUCUUAGACCAGGAAAGUUGUGUGGUGUUGGCAGGGAGAAGAAAGGAGUUGACUGCAGCCCCUGGCUCCCAUGGUUGACUUUAACCUCCUGAAUGGACAACAUGGCAGGGCACAGGCAAUCCAACAAGUUUCUGAAGACUGGCAAGAACUAUUUCCUGACACUGCAGAUUCAUGAGCCAAUUAGAUGUGUGGCCACUGGAUAAUUUUCAAAGGCUCCUGGGCUCUGACCUUUGGCUCAGACUCCCACUGAUGAUGGAGGGCUCAAAGGAAGAAUACCAACAUCUUUGUCUUCUCACAGAGAGUGAGAUUCAGCAAAUGGAAGAGGAACACGAUAUUUCUGGAGUUUGUCAAUAAACCUCUAGGUGAAACAAAAGAAUUAUGUUUGCACUGCAGGUCAGAUCUGCUGAGAAAUGCCCUCAAACAUCAGUACAAUGGAGAAAUGUAUUCAAGAACAUUUCAUCCUUGUGAAAAUAUUACCCUGUUACAACAGCCAAGGUCACUGAGACCCAGAGUGAUAUUCUGGUCACAAAAGUUAAAGAUGCCUGGCGGCUACCAUAAUUAAAUUAUUAGUGUUAGGAGAAUAGGGAAAGCAGUUUUCCCACAAAUAUUUAUUUGAAUUUAAAAGUGACUUUAGACAUGACUUUGGUCAGAAAUCCUCUGUGUUCUGGUUGUUGUUUUUUUCUCCUCGAAAACAUUCAGACACUGAAGCUGGAUGGGAGCACCCAGGCCAUCCCAGUUUCCACAGCCUUCAGCUUCAGCCCAGCUGAAGAACAAAAGCAAUAAUCUCAGGUCUGCAUCGAACACAGUGAGCCUUUUGGAUGUUUGCAACUAUCAAUUUGCAUCUCAUGAACAAAAUCCAGGCAAUUAUCUAGGUUAGUUAACAGAAAGAUAAGAAAUGUUCAAUUCCCACCAGGGCACAUCUGUAGGCAAACCACCAACAUAAAGGAAUAUUAACAUUAAGAUAAACUACCUUGAUAAUCAUUAGCUACUUGUUUUCAUCUUUAAAAUCUUUAAAAAUCUUUAAAUUUUGUAUUGCCUGCCCAUUUGGAAAUAUUCAUUUGUUUGAUCUAAUUUCUGCUUUUUGGAUUUUGGUUAAUUUUCUUUUUUUUUUUCCCUCCUGAAAUGCUGAAGAAGCAAUUUCAUAGGCAAGUACACACAAUAUCCAAAAACCUACUAUCUCAAGGCCUCAGCACAAAGUGGAAAAUACGUCUUGGACUACUCUUUUUUUUUUUGUGGUUCGAAUUACAUGAAAAUGUACAACACUGAGUACGAGGGAAAUCAUGAGUUUACCACAAAACACUGUGCACACACUUGUGUAAAACUGAAGUACAAGAGGUGGUAAAAUGAUAGGUAUAGUAUAGCAUAUACUACAAUGCUGUGCUUUGGAAAACCAUGCUAGGUGUUUAACAGUUUUCAAUUGUUGUUUACAAUGCAGCUAAACAAAAGUAA